GCAGGCUGAAAUUACGCCUGCAUGAAGCCGGAAUUGCUAGUAAUGGCAGGUCAGCAUACUGCCGUGAAUACGUUCCCGGGCCUUGUACACACCGCCCGUCACACCAUGAGAGUUGGGGAUACCCGAAGCCUGUGAGCCAACAAUAUAUUGAGGCAGCAGUCGAAGGUAGAAUCAAUGAUUGGGGUGAAGUCGUAACAAGGUAGC
rnacentral:rRNA from 1 species